GUUUCCUUAACAAACCAAAGCCGUUACCAACAUGAGUUUAAGUGUUGAUUUGACUCUUCUACUAAUUUUAUUUGCAUAAUUACUUUGAAUAUGACUUUUAGAAUGCUACGAAUUUCAUUAUGAUCAUAUGUAGACUUAUUUUUAAGAGCACUCUUGUUUCUUUUCAAGAAUAUGAAAUAGUCAUAUGAAUCCUUUAAAUUCUAAGUUUAUUUAUCAAUCUAUGCAUGUAUGUUUAAUCGUAAAACAAACAUGUUUAAGGCAUUUUUGAGUUAAUUAACUAAUUUAACAUAUGUGAAUUUAUUUGUCAUUCCUAAAUACGAUUUUCACCAAUAGUUUGAAUCAAACUUAUUGUUAACAAGUGUUAUCAUCAAAAUUAAAUAUGUCAUUAUUUCAACAAAUGGUUCAUUAACUAAUUCUUUGUAUGUUGAAAUAAUCAUCAACCUAAUCUUAAAAGGGGUUUACGAAUGAAUCAAAAUUUCAUACAACAACAAACCAAAUUUGAGCUUAGCUCAAGAGAUUGUACAUAAAUUGGCAAAAACAUAAAGAAUUACUGAAAUGAUGUGGUAAUUCACAAUUUUUAAGAAUGUGGUGUUACGUAACUAGAAUUAAACUAUUAAAUAUAGUCAAGGAACUUGAUUGUAUGCGCCUGAUUGACUUUUAAUAUGAUCCACAAUUAACCGAGGUUAAAUCUACACUAUAUUUUAUCCUCUCUCCUUUUCAAAAUGACUUUCUAAUAUUUCUUUUCUUUGCUCAUUAAAAUGGCACAUAGACCUAUUAAAAUACGACACGCAAUGGUGAAUAUUUUAUUUUGGAAGAAGGGGCUCAAAAUCACAUUGUUAGUUCUUCAUUAAAAUCGUGGAAAAAAGUUUUAUUUGCACAGUAUAACCCAGCUACUCCUGGUGACUCUACACAAAAUCUUCCCAGCUAGCUCAAAAAUUAUCAUGCCCUUGGCACUAUCAAUUUAAUAUAAUUUGAACUACUUCAUUUUCAAUUAGGAAAGUUUCUUAAUUAGUUGUCUAUAAUAGGUCAUGUUGACUAUAUUGAUUUUCUCAUUAUUCUACUUUAUUUAGUUUUUCUUGUUUAGAAUAUAGGCUGUAAUAUAUAUUAAGAGGACAAUGAUUAAUAAAAUUAAGCCUUUACAUAUUUCUUUUUGGUAUCAGAACCAACUAAACCCUAGCCUCCAACACUGCCUUCACAAUAGCCUAAACCCUAACCCACUAGCCACCAGCCAUAGGCCAACAACAGUCCUGCCUCUAUGCAUUCCCUGUGCAACCCAGUCCAACCAACAAUCACCAGACUCAACACUUGUAACAUCCUCUUCCCUUGUGCAGCCACCACUGCAGUCACCAGCAGCCCAACCCAACCCUCACACACAGAGCCCUUGCACAACAAGUCAUCUCGUGCAUAACCAUGCUUUGUACAGUCCAUCCUUGCGCCGUCUAGCACCGUUCAGGCCUUGCACAGGCAAGCUCUUGCACAGUCGCGCAGUCUAGCUUCGUUCAAGCCUCACACAGGCCAACGCAUACACCAUCAAGCAGUCCUGUAGGCCAGCCCAUGUGCCAUCCAGUAGCAUCAUAGUCCAGCAUAGCCGCAUAUUCCAGCAACCCCUACAUCGUCUAGUAGUCCUAUAGGCCAUCCCCUGCACUGUCUAGUACAUUUAGCAGCCGCGCAAUCUAGCACAGCCACACAGUCUAGCAACCAGUAGCCCCAUAAUCCAACAACCAGUAGUCAGUAGUCUAGCGCAGCCAUCAGUUGCACAGUGCAAUUCAGCCUCCAGUCAUUGCGUAGUCUAGUGUAGCCAGCAGUAGCUGCUCGUGCAGUCCAUAUAUCGUGAAGUCUAUAUGUCUGAUAGUAUGACACUUUAAAAAAAAUAUAUUCUCCUUUGAUUUCCUAAGAUUGAUUCUUGGUGUUACGUUGAUAGUUAACCCAGUCAAGGAGGUUGCCCCAGCCCAUAUGGUUUUGUGCCCAACUCCUAUCUACCUAUCUUUUAGUCCCACGGACGCUAUAGUUGCAGGUACUCUUAUCGCUUUUCAUGAUAAGUCAAGUCACCCCACUUGAAUUCUGAAUUUUGGAGCUAAUAAUAACAUGACUGGUGAGCUUUCUACUUUUACCUCUUCUAUUAGUUUCAUAAAUCAAUCUGUUUGUAUUGCUGAUGGACCAUCUAUUCCCAUUUAUAGUCAGGGUGAUGCCCACUUUUCCACAGAUAUUACUCUUUCCUCAAUUUAUUAUGCUCUGAAUUUUGCCUAUAAUUUUCUUUCUGUUAGUUGUCUUGCAAAAAACCUUAAUUGUGCCGUUGUAGUCUUACCAUCUCGUUGUUUCUUGCAGGACUUGAUUUCGAAGAAGAUUCUUGGCAGGGGAUAUGAGAGUGAUGAACUGUACUACUUUGGGGAUCCGCCAACAUCUAUUGCUUUGUCCUUCAAUCUUCAAGCCUCUACUCUACCAGUCUUAGAGCCCUCCAUUUUAAGUUAGUCUAUAUUAAAUUCGUUUGUUUGUUCUAUUA
rnacentral:lncRNA from 1 species